rnacentral:other from 1 species
UAGAGCCUGAAAUGUUUGUCAGCUCAAUAACCUUAACCUACAGAUAGUAUACGGGAGUUUAUGUAUGCAUUUGGAAAUCGUGCCUUAAAUGGAAGGUUGAAUCAUGUGUCGUGACACCCACCUGCGUGAGUGCAGGUGUAAGGUUAUAGCGGACGGCAUUUUGGGUUAUGU